ACCUAUUCCAGAGGCUAGUUUUUAUUUUUUUUUUUUUUUCAAGCAGAAGACGGCAUACGAGAUCAGCCUCGGUCUCGUGGGCUCGGAGAUGUGUAUAAGAGACAGAUUUCACACUGUCAAGAAAAGUCUCUAUCGAGGUUAAAGGUACCCGUACCGCAAACCGACACAGGUGGGUGAGGAGAGUAUCCUAAGGCCAGCGAGAGAACUGUUGUUAAGGAACUCGGCAAAAUGACCCCGUAACUUAGGGAUAAGGGGUGCCACCAUCAGGUGGCCGCAGAGAAUAGGCCCAAGCGACUGUUUACCAAAAACAUAGGUUUCUGCUAAGUCGCAAGACGAUGUAUAGGAGCUGACGCCUGCCCGGUGCUGGAAGGUUAAGGGGAUCUGUUAGAGCAAUCGAAGCAGUGAACUUAAGCCCCAGUAAACGGCGGCCGUAACUAUAACGGUCCUAAGGUAGCGAAAUUCCUUGUCGGGUAAGUUCCGACCCGCACGAAAGGCGUAACGAUUUGGGCACUGUCUCAACAACAGACUCGGUGAAAUUGUAAUUCCGGUGAAGAUGCCGGAUACCUGCGACAGGACGGAAAGACCCCAUGGAGCUUUACUGUAGCUUGACAUUGGGUCUUGGUACUACAUGUACAGGAUAGGUGGGAGGCUUUGAAACCAGGACGCCAGUUUUGGCGGAGCCAUCCUUGGGAUACCACCCUUGUAGUACUGGGACUCUAACCAUAGGCCAUGAAUCUGGUCUUGGGACACUGUCAGGUGGGCAGUUUGACUGGGGCGGUCGCCUCCCAAAAGGUAACGGAGGCGCUCAAAGGUUCUCUCAGUACGGUCGGAAAUCGUACGUAGAGUGUAAAGGCAAAAGAGAGCUUGAUUGCAAGACAUACAGGUCGAGCAAGGAUGAAAAUCGGACUUAGUGAUCCGGUGGUUCUGCGUGGAAGGGCCAUCGCUCAACGGAUAAAAGCUACCCUGGGGAUAACAGGCUUAUCUCCCCCAAGAGUCCACAUCGACGGGGAGGUUUGGCACCUCGAUGUCGGCUCAUCACAUCCUGGGGCUGUAGUAGGUCCCAAGGGUUGGGCUGUUCGCCCAUUAAAGUGGUACGCGAGCUGGGUUCAGAACGUCGUGAGACAGUUCGGUCCCUAUCCGUCGCAGGCGUAGGAAAUUUGAGAAGACCUGUCCUUAGUACGAGAGGACCGGGAUGGACGUACCUCUGGUGUACCAGUUG
rnacentral:rRNA from 1 species